CACGUAGGGACCAAGCGUUGUCCGGAUUUAUUGGGCGUAAAGCGCGUGUAGGUGGCGAUGUAAGUCGGGUGUGAAAUCCCUCGCUUAACUGAGGAAGUGCACUCGAUACUGUGUCGCUUGAGUGUUGGAGGGGAUGGCGGAAUUCCCGGUGUAGAGGUGAAAUUCGUAGAUAUUCGCAAGAACACCAGUGGCGAAGGCGGCUCACUGGCCCGAUACUGACGCUGAGGCACGAAAGCGUGGGGAGCAAACAGG
rnacentral:rRNA from 1 species